AGCUCGGCGGUAGAGCUGGCGGCUGCCAACCGCAAGGUCGUAGGUUCGGAUCCUACC
rnacentral:tRNA from 1 species